UAUGUUUUAGUUUUGAAGUAUUGAAUCGUUUCCAUUCGCCAAAAUCAUUUAACUCUUGGCUGAAUCCCAGCUACCCGGGCUCAUGUAUUCAGCCCGUAAAACGUAAGUUAACAACCUAAAUUGCAUCCACUUUGUGUGAAACUUCGUAGAUAUACCCGAAAUUGGAGAUUCUGUAAUCAUUUGUCACAGCCACUUGUGGAAAAAUGACAAAGUUUUUGCAACACAACCCACAAAAUUAAAAAAUUGUCUCUUAUUCCACAAAAAAUUUGGCAACG